rnacentral:rRNA from 1 species
UGGGGAAUAUUGCACAAUGGGCGCAAGCCUGAUGCAGCCAUGCCGCGUGUAUGAAGAAGGCCUUCGGGUUGUAAAGUACUUUCAGCGGGGAGGAAGGGGUUGUGGUUAAUAACCACAGCAAUUGACGUUACCCGCAGAAGAAGCACCGGCUAACUCCGUGCCAGCAGCCGCGGUAAUACGGAGGGUGCAAGCGUUAAUCGGAAGUACUGGGCGUAAAGCGCACGCAGGCGGUCUGUCAAGUCGGAUGUGAAAUCCCCGGGCUCAACCUGGGAACUGCAUCCGAAACUGGCAGGCUUGAGUCUUGUAGAGGGGGGUAGAAUUCCAGGUGUAGCGGUGAAAUGCGUAGAGAUCUGGAGGAAUACCGGUGGCGAAGGCGGCCCCCUGGACAAAGACUGACGCUCAGGUGCGAAAGCGUGGGGAGCAAACA